ACUGAUAAAAUGAAGCACAAAUCUACUUGCAACAUCCUGAACAACUUGAGCAACUGCCACAUGAAGAGUGACAAAUUGGUAAAGACUUUUACGACCAAUAGGUGAACUAAUGUCGUCCUGAUUUAGGUCUAAAGGUUGUCGUCGAUUGGAGUUCCUUCUUAACGUUUCUUAGCACGAGUGGGUUAUCUUCACUGCCUUUCACUAAUAGCAAAAACAAUUCGGAAUAGACAAAGGACGUAGCCAACAUAUUAAACGCGACAUUUACAAGAUACUCACCAGAACUUCCCCCAUUUACAGGCCCUUAAAACAUGCUUGUUUUUGUAAAUAAAACACUUCAUAGAUUUCGAGCAUCCAAGGGGAGAAACAGGAACCUAAAUGGGAUCUCGUCCAUCUGGUCACCUACCCAGGCUGAAUUAAAUAAAGAUCGAGUUUGCCACUUGUUAGCGCCACUCACAGCAAGUAUGCUAUACGGUAGAUUUUGAUGUCGAAGCCGUAAACAACAACGGCAAAUGCCGCGAUAAUAAAAAAGACGACGUAGCGAAAGCGGAAAGUACGACCGGCAAGACGGGUCUGAAACGUCGAAGAAGGCCAGUCCGCUUGUUGGUGCGGCAAGUGUUGGUUAUAGCAAUCAUGCUGGCCAUAGUUUGCGUACUUUCAGCGUUGGUUUGGUUCUUUCUUGGAUGGUUAGCUCUUGUUCAACUGCUUCUUGUUGUAUUUGUGGCAUGGUUUAUCGUUGGAAAAAAGUAUCGAUGGGUUUAUAUAGCGCUGAUGACCUUACCUCGCGAUGUCAAGUAAGUCAAUUGACCCUGCAUCUUUUUAAAUAGUAGCUUAUAAAAAAUUUUAAAAACAUGACCAUUUCGUACAAAAGGUCAUGUUUUUAUAAAACGGAAAAAAACUUUUUCAACUUUUAAACGUGUCUGACAGGUAAGUGUGUAUACAGGGUGGUGCAAUACGACCCACAGGUAAAAAACUUCACCGCAUACAAAUGUAGAAUAAAAUCCAAUAACUUUAUAAAAUAUCAUUUCUGGAAAUAUUUUCAUUCUACUUCUACAUGCUACUCAAAAUUAUAGUCUUUUUGUUCUUAAGGAUUUCAGUAUAGCUACCUUGAAAGAGGAACAUGCGUUUUUUUCCUAUUCUUUUUUAAGUUUAUAACUUGCUGUAAGCCUAAGUGUAUAUACAGGGUGACUAG